AACGAACGCUGGCGGCAGGCUUAACACAUGCAAGUCGAACGCCCGUAGCAAUACGGGAGUGGCGGACGGGUGAGUAACGCGUGGGAACGUGCCCUGAGGUACGGAAUAACUGCGGGAAACUGCAGCUAAUACCGUAUGAGCCCCGCAAGGGGGAGAGAUUUAUCGCCAAAGGAUCGGCCCGCGUCUGAUUAGCUAGUUGGUGAGGUAAUGGCUCACCAAGGCGACGAUCAGUAGCUGGUCUGAGAGGAUGAUCAGCCACACUGGGACUGAGACACGGCCCAGACUCCUACGGGAGGCAGCAGUGGGGAAUAUUGGACAAUGGGGGCAACCCUGAUCCAGCCAUGCCGCGUGAGUGAUGAAGGCCUUCGGGUUGUAAAGCUCUUUUGGCGGGGACGAUGAUGACGGUACCCGCAGAAUAAGCCCCGGCUAACUUCGUGCCAGCCGCCGCGGUAAAAC
rnacentral:rRNA from 1 species